AAAGGAUGGUUACAAAAAGGAUGGGUGGCAUGAAGAGUAGGAAAACAUCGGAAUCAUCGUCGCCAUCGAGUCAAUCAUCACCGUUGGUUCAAGAAGACCGAACAUAUGACGACGACAAUGAUGAUGAUGAUGAUCAUGAUGAUGAGGACGAGGACGAGGAUGAGGACGAGGACGAGGACGAGGAGAGGGAUGAUGAUCAUAACGAGUAAUUUAUAUUCUUUUCAGUUGCUGUUUUUUGGUUAGGGAUUUUGGGCACUUUUGGGGUGUUUUAGGUGGUUACUGUCAAAGAAAAUUUAACUUGCAUAUAUGAAUUUUGUUUUAUGUAAUUAUUUAUCAACAUGACAUGUUUUGUAGGAAACAAAUUAUCAAAAAAUUUGGGUUAUUUUCAAAUUUUGGCGCAC
rnacentral:lncRNA from 1 species